AUUGAACGCUGGCGGCAGGCCUAACACAUGCAAGUCGAACGGUAACAGGAAGAAGCUUGCUUCUUUGCUGACGAGUGGCGGACGGGUGAGUAAUGUCUGGGAAACUGCCUGAUGGAGGGGGAUAACUACUGGAAACGGUAGCUAAUACCGCAUAACGUCGCAAGACCAAAGAGGGGGACCUUCGGGCCUCUUGCCAUCGGAUGUGCCCAGAUGGGAUUAGCUAGUAGGUGGGGUAACGGCUCACCUAGGCGACGAUCCCUAGCUGGUCUGAGAGGAUGACCAGCCACACUGGAACUGAGACACGGCCCAGACUCCUACGGGAGGCAGCAGUGGGGAAUAUUGCACAAUGGGCGCAAGCCUGAUGCAGCCAUGCCGCGUGUAUGAAGAAGGCCUUCGGGUUGUAAAGUACUUUCAGCGGGGAGGAAGGGAGUAAAGUUAAUACCUUUGCUCAUUGACGUUACCCGCAGAAGAAGCACCGGCUAACUCCGUG
rnacentral:rRNA from 1 species